AAGUGCUAGGAUUACAGGAGUGAGCCACUGCACCGGGCAUAUAUGUGUUAUUUCUAAACACAUUUCCUAUUUAUGUGAUAACGGAGGUCGCACUUUAACCAUCACUUGGACGUGAAGGAGUGUUCUUCCUCUGUUAGUAAAUAUUCCUUGACUUGACGAUAUUAAAAAUAUGUCAGGUGAAUGAGCUUGAAUCCUAUGGUUUGGGUUGGGUUUUGAUUGUUUGCACUCUUGGACUGUUCUGUCCUGUGCCUUUGAGUAUGAUUAACUGCCUUGAUGCCUCACAGUCCAUUAAGCAACUCUACUACUUGCAUCUCAAGACUGAUCUUUUAUGCCAUUUGACUUGCUUUAAGUUAGCAACUUAGAAGAGACUUUAGGAAGGAGAAUGCCAAGAGAACUGGCAGAGAAGUCAGGAGCCUGGGCUCUGUCCAGGCCCUGGGGUAAGUCCUUUCACCUCUUCCUUUGACUCCCUUAAAAAAUGAAGUUGAACUCAUUUGAGCUUUAAAAAGAUGAUGCCAAGAGGCAAGACAGAGGGCAGCCGAUGUGGAGGUAGCAUGAAAGAAAAAGGAGUGUCUGUAAAAAAUAAUAAUAAUAAAAGUGCUAGAAAAGGAUGUUGACAAAUAAUACUAAAAACUAGAAAGAAUGUGGAAUAGAGGGGCCCAAUUAUCAGUAAUAUAAAAACUACCGCAAAAAAAAAAAGCUAAAAAUCUAUUCAACUUUUAUUGUCCAUAAAAAGUGAUCACACCAUGUCUAACUGCAAUUCCUUUGUCAAAAACACCAGAGGCCGAGGACCAAAUUGCAGAUUAAGGGUUUCUUCCUUUCGCUUCCUAUAUAUCCAGAAACCUGGGAUCAUAGACACUCUUCCAUGUGUCUACUGUGCAAGUUUGGCACAACUUGCAAGCAUUUUGGCAGAUGGUCAGAAAAAAACACUUAAAGGAAUAUGCAAGAGUACACAGGACUCUAAAAAUAAGAAAUAAAGCUAAGACCUCAGUGUUCCGCCAUUCAAUACAAUCAACAUUUAUUGAACAGCAAUUAUAUGCCAGGUAGCAGGGAUACCUAGAACUUGCCUCUCCCACCUGCACUCCGGAAGAGUUCCUGCUUCCCCAGCCUCAGGGAAUAGCAAGUCUUACCCAUGGUAGGUUUACUGUGAGAGCUGUCCUGAUAGCGAGGGACAAACAUGGCCCAGUGCCUUCCUCAUGGAUGAACUUGACUCUACACUGGGACUCCCCAGCACACCUUUUUGUGAUGGUGGGAAAGUCCUAUGUUGGUGAUGUUCAGUAUGGUAACCAGCGACUGCAUGUGGCUGUUGAGAACUUGAAAUAUGGCUACGGUGACUGAGGGACAGAACAUUCAAUUUGAUUUAACUUUUUAUUAAGUUUAAUUCAAAUAACCAUGUAUUACUAAUGGCUGCCAAUUGGACAGCAGCUUUCUAGACCCAUUGUUAAAAAUAAUUAUAAGCAAUGCGUACCUCUUAUGAGUUAGAAUUAGUAACCCCAUUUAUUGAGUGCCCAUGACAGAUUAAGAAUUAUGUUUGACGUACGUUAUCCCUGAUCCUGACAAGAAUGGUCCCAUUUGACAAAUAAGGAAACUGAGGUUCUGAGAGAUAAGGUGCGUUGUUAUGUACUCAAAAGAAAUUGUGAGAGCUGGAAUUUGAACCUAAUUGGUCUGACUCUAGAACUGGGUGAUUUCUGGUAUCCUACCAAACCUGUUUAUGUAGUAUCCAGAGGCUGUCUCUUCUGAGUGUAUCUUCUCUUUGCUUUGUGGAUUAGCUAGCAAUGUCUUUAUCUUGGUCACAUAGAACAAUUACAGGGUCCAUCUGAACUCUUCUGAAUGGGGACAUAUCACUGCCCUGGAACCAUUCAUUUUUCUUACUGAGAACUAUGUCCUUCAAAAAAUAUUCUAAGAGUUGAGGGUCCAACCCAGCUUCCUGAGUAGUAAGCUAAUCACCUACAAGUAUAUUUCCCCAGUAGAUGCUGAGAAGCAUCAAAGCACAUGGGUAGUUCUGUGGACGUCAGUGACACACAGUUAACUCUUGGCAUUUGAGUGUUUAACGGUCACAGGUGAGGACGUUUGUGAACUCUCCCAAGGUCUGAAUUACUGAAUGAGCCUUUAGUACUUGGGCAUCUGUGGCACAAUUCUGCUUUGCUGUUUUCUGCUUUCCAUAAAGCAUACGGUAACUCUCUUUAAGGGUCUGAAAGCCUCACUUACAAUGUUUCAAUGACUCUGAACUGAUUUCUCUUUGGAAAUGAUAUAUUCAGAUGGUACUUGCAGAAUCACUAAGGGGUAGUAAUGUGAAGGAGUAGUAAAGGCCUACUGGACAAUCGGGUGCCUACCGCCCAUCCACACAUGGUGAUGUGAUACGAAGCCACUUUUCUUUAUUCCCUCAGAGCUAAGGUUUCUCCUUCAGGAAGCAGCUUACUUAACAUAUACUUGAUUUCACCAUAACGUGUAUUAUGACAUUUUAUUUUCUUAAAAGGUUAUUAUCAGACCCUGCAAGACCGUUCCUCUAAACUAUGACCAAAGUAUAACCUCAUGUUAAUAGCUUAAAAUAGCUUUUCUUUACUUUUCCCUUUAAAAGCAAAUAAUUAUUUUUAAUGGAAAGAACAUAGACUUUGAUGAUCAGUUCACAUCCUUGCUUUACCCCUUGAAACAAAUGUGUAACAUGCAAAGAUAGCUUAACAUUCCUGAGUCACAUUUGUCCAAAUAAUAAAAACAAUGGCAGCAAGACUUCAUCACUAAUGCCUGAUGUUUUUGUAUGAUUAAUCUGUGCCAGGUUCCAUUCUAGUUUCUUUACACAUAUUAGACCAUCGACUUCUUGCAAGAACAUUGCGUAGCAGGCAUGGUCAUUUCCACUUUACAGGCGGGAAUCUGAAGACCUGAAUUAAAAAUAACCAGUCCAAGAUUGCCUAGUUAAUAAAUGGUGGAACUCGCAGUCAGACACAAGCUGGGCUGGGGUAAUACAGUUGACUUUCGUAGGAUACAUCAGCCUUGUGAAAUAAGAAUGAUAGUAUUAAUAAUAUCCACCUUGUGUGAUCAUUAUGAAAGUUAGAUAUAAUGUAUGUGGAACUCCCACCAGCAAAGUUGUUCCACAAGAGGCUUUAAACAAAUGGUGGUCAUUAUUAAUUUAAAAUGUCCGCAAUUGAAACUGAUACGCCAAGGCCAGUAAAAAAUGAGAGCUUCAUAAGGAAAAAAGUAGGAGGCAUACCUUUGUUUCAUUUUGUUUGUUGAUUUCUGUGCCUUCUUGGUAUUCUUUUCUGUUGGGCACAGGUUUUAUUUAGAAGAAAUUAAAUUGUUUUUUCUUUGAGUGCAGAAAGAAUAGUUGGACACACUGAAUGGGAUAGCUGAUGUACUAUAGUAAUACUUCUCAGAUUAUCCCCCCCACCCAAAAAUUCUGUAAAAUGAAAACUUUUUUUUAACUUUCAUCAGUUCAAGGUUUAGUGUUAUCUAGAGAGCUUUGUUAAACUCAGGAUUUCUAUAUGUAUGACUUUCUCAUAAAUGCAGAAUUAUAA